GAUCUUGCAUGAUCUUACAAGAUCUUUCCAAGUUCUUGCAGGAUCUUACCUAAGAUCUUGCAGGAUCUUGCAAGAUCUUUCCAUGUUCUUGCAGGAUCUUACCUAAGAUCUUGCAAGAUCUUGCCAUUAUCAUGGCAAGAUCUUGCAAGAUCUUGCCAUUAUCAUGGCAAGAUCUUGCAGGAUUUGUACCAAGAUCAUGCCAAGAUCUUACAUGAAUCCUGCAAGAUCAUGGAAAGAUCUUGCAUGAUCUUGCAAGAUCUUUCCAAGUUCUUGCAGGAUCUUAC
rnacentral:sRNA from 1 species